rnacentral:rRNA from 1 species
UUACACAUGCAAGUCGAACGCUGAAGCCUGGUGCUUGCACCGGGUGGAUGAGUGGCGAACGGGUGAGUAAUACGUGAGUGACCUGCCUUUGACUCUGGGAUAAGCCUGGGAAACUGGGUCUAAUACCGGAUGCGACUACUGCCCGCAUGGGCUGGUGGUGGAAAGGGUUAUGUACUGGUCUUAGAUGGGCUCACGGCCUAUCAGCUGGUUGGUGGGGUAAUGGCCUACCAAGGCGACGACGGGUAGCCGGCCUGAGAGGGUGACCGGCCACACUGGGACUGAGACACGGCCCAGACUCCUACGGGAGGCAGCAGUGGGGAAUAUUGCACAAUGGGCGCAAGCCUGAUGCAGCGACGCCGCGUGAGGGAUGACGGCCUUCGGGUUGUAAACCUCUUUCAGCAGGGAAGAAGCGGAAGUGACGGUACCUGCAGAAGAAGCGCCGGCUAACUACGUGCCAGCAGCCGCGGUAAUACGUAGGGCGCAAGCGUUGUCCGGAAUUAUUGGGCGUAAAGAGCUCGUAGGCGGCUUGUCGCGUCUGCUGUGAAAGCCCGGGGCUUAACUCCGGGUGUGCAGUGGGUACGGGCAGGCUAGAGUGCAGUAGGGGUAACUGGAAUUCCUGGUGUAGCGGUGAAAUGCGCAGAUAUCAGGAGGAACACCGAUGGCGAAGGCAGGUUACUGGGCUGUUACUGACGCUGAGGAGCGAAAGCAUGGGGAGCGAACAGGAUUAGAUACCCUGGUAGUCCAUGCCGUAAACGUUGGGCACUAGGUGUGGGGGACAUUCCACGUUUUCCGCGCCGUAGCUAACGCAUUAAGUGCCCCGCCUGGGGAGUACGGCCGCAAGGCUAAAACUCAAAGGAAUUGACGGGGGCCCGCACAAGCGGCGGAGCAUGCGGAUUAAUUCGAUGCAACGCGAAGAACCUUACCAAGGCUUGACAUACACUGGAUCGUUCCAGAGAUGGUUCUUCCCUUUUGGGCUGGUGUACAGGUGGUGCAUGGUUGUCGUCAGCUCGUGUCGUGAGAUGUUGGGUUAAGUCCCGCAACGAGCGCAACCCUCGUUCUAUGUUGCCAGCACGUGAUGGUGGGGACUCAUAGGAGACUGCCGGGGUCAACUCGGAGGAAGGUGGGGAUGACGUCAAUCAUC